GCCCCGGUGGCGAAAUUGGUAGACGCAAGAGACUUAAAAUCUCUCGACCUAACGGUUGUGCCGGUUCGACCCCGGCCCGGGGCACCA
rnacentral:tRNA from 1 species